GAUGAACGCUAGCGACAGGCUUAACACAUGCAAGUCGAGGGGCAGCGGGGGUGAUGGCUUGCCAUCACCUGCCGGCGACCGGCGCACGGGUGAGUAACACGUAUGCAACCUGCCCGCCACAGGGGGAUAAGCGGAAGAAAUUCCGUCUAAUACCGCGUGACGCGGCGUCGGGGCAUCCCGGUGCCGCCAAAGGGAUUACCGGUGGCGGAUGGGCAUGCGGCGCAUUAGCUAGUCGGCGGGGUAACGGCCCACCGAGGCGACGAUGCGUAGGGGUUCUGAGAGGAAGGUCCCCCACACUGGUACUGAGACACGGACCAGACUCCUACGGGAGGCAGCAGUGAGGAAUAUUGGUCAAUGGGCGCGAGCCUGAACCAGCCAAGUCGCGUGAGGGAUGACGGUCCUACGGAUUGUAAACCUCUUUUGCCGGGGAGCAAGCGUGCGUUCGUGAACGCGCGUCGAGAGUACCCGGAGAAAAAGCAUCGGCUAACUCCGUGCCAGCAGCCGCGGUAAUACGGAGGAUGCGAGCGUUAUCCGGAUUUAUUGGGUUUAAAGGGUGCGUAGGCGGGAUGCCAAGUCAGCGGUAAAAAUGCGGUGCUCAACGCCGUCGAGCCGUUGAAACUGGCGUUCUUGAGUGGGCGAGAAGUAUGCGGAAUGCGUGGUGUAGCGGUGAAAUGCAUAGAUAUCACGCAGAACUCCGAUUGCGAAGGCAGCAUACCGGCGCCCUACUGACGCUGAGGCACGAAAGCGUGGGUAUCGAACAGGAUUAGAUACCCUGGUAGUCCACGCAGUAAACGAUGAAUGCUAACUGUCCGGCGCGAAUGAGCGCUGGGCGGUACAGCGAAAGCGUUAAGCAUUCCACCUGGGGAGUACGCCGGCAACGGUGAAACUCAAAGGAAUUGACGGGGGCCCGCACAAGCGGAGGAACAUGUGGUUUAAUUCGAUGAUACGCGAGGAACCUUACCCGGGCUCAAACGCAGGAUGACGGGUCCCGAAAGGGGCCUUUCUUCGGACAUUCUGCGAGGUGCUGCAUGGUUGUCGUCAGCUCGUGCCGUGAGGUGUCGGCUUAAGUGCCAUAACGAGCGCAACCCCUGUCCACAGUUGCCAGCAGGUAAAGCUGGGGACUCUGUGGAGACUGCCGGCGCAAGCUGCGAGGAAGGCGGGGAUGACGUCAAAUCAGCACGGCCCUUACGUCCGGGGCGACACACGUGUUACAAUGGCAGGUACAGCGGGAUGCCACGGGGCGACCCGGCGCUGAACCCGAAAACCUGUCUCAGUUCGGAUUGGAGUCUGCAACCCGACUCCAUGAAGCUGGAUUCGCUAGUAAUCGCGCAUCAGCCACGGCGCGGUGAAUACGUUCCCGGGCCUUGUACACACCGCCCGUCAAGCCAUGGAAGCCGGGGGUACCUGAAGUGCGUGACCGCGAGGAGCGCCCUAGGGUAAAACCGGUGACUGGGGCU
rnacentral:rRNA from 1 species